CUUGGUGGUUAUAGCGAGGGGCCUACACCCGAUCCCAUCCCGAACUCGGCCGUGAAAACCCUCAGCGCCAAUGGUACUGCGUCUUAAGGCGCGGGAGAGUAGGUCGCCGCCAGGC
rnacentral:rRNA from 1 species